UCACUGAUGGUCCAGUGGUUAAGGCCUCUCCUUCCAAUGCAGGAGAUGCAGGUUCAAUCCCUGCUCAGGGAG
rnacentral:tRNA from 1 species